UACGAAGGGGGCUAGCGUUGUUCGGAAUUACUGGGCGUAAAGCGCGCGUAGGCGGUGAUCUUUGUCAGAGGUGAAAGCCUGGGGCUCAACUCCAGAAUUGCCUUUGAAACGGGAUCGCUUGAGUCCGAGAGAGGAUGGCGGAAUUCCUAGUGUAGAGGUGAAAUUCGUAGAUAUUAGGAAGAACACCGGUGGCGAAGGCGGCUUACUGGUCCGGUUCUGACGCUGAGGCGCGAAAGCGUGGGGAGCAAACAGGAUUGAGAAACCCCAGUAGGU
rnacentral:rRNA from 1 species